CCUACGGGGGGCUGCAGUGAGGAAUAUUGGUCAAUGGGCGCGAGCCUGAACCAGCCAAGUCGCGUGAGGGAAGACGGUCCUAUGGAUUGUAACCCUCUUUUGUCGGGGAGCAAAAGACGCCACGCGUGGCGUUCCGAGAGUACCCGAAGAAAAAGCAUCGGCUAACUCCGUGCCAGCAUCCGCGGUAAUACGGAGGAUGCGAGCGUUAUCCGGAUUUAUUGGGUUUAAAGGGUGCGUAGGCGGAAUGCCAAGUCAGCGGUAAAAUUGCGGGGCUCAACCUCGCUCCGCCGUUGAAACUGGCGUUCUUGAGUGGGCGAGAAGUAUGCGGAAUGCGUGGUGUAGCGGGGAAAGGCAGAGAUAUCACGCAGAACUCCGAUUGCGAAGGCAGCAUACAGGCGCCCAACUGACGCUGAAGCACGAAAGCGUGGGUAUCGAACAGGAUUAGAUACCCGGGUAGUC
rnacentral:rRNA from 1 species